GGGCCUGUGGCGCAAUGGAUAACGCGUCUGACUACGAAUCAGAAGAUUGCAGGUUCGAGUCCUGCCUGGCUCG
rnacentral:tRNA from 1 species